CCUGGCUCAGGAUGAACGCUAGCUACAGGCUUAACACAUGCAAGUCGAGGGGCAGCAUGAACUUAGCUUGCUAAGUUUGAUGGCGACCGGCGCACGGGUGAGUAACACGUAUCCAACCUGCCGAUGACUCGGGGAUAGCCUUUCGAAAGAAAGAUUAAUACCCGAUGGCAUAGUUCUUCCGCAUGGUAGAACUAUUAAAGAAUUUCGGUCAUCGAUGGGGAUGCGUUCCAUUAGGUUGUUGGCGGGGUAACGGCCCACCAAGCCUUCGAUGGAUAGGGGUUCUGAGAGGAAGGUCCCCCACAUUGGAACUGAGACACGGUCCAAACUCCUACGGGAGGCAGCAGUGAGGAAUAUUGGUCAAUGGACGAGAGUCUGAACCAGCCAAGUAGCGUGAAGGAUGACUGCCCUAUGGGUUGUAAACUUCUUUUAUACGGGAAUAAAGUGAGGCACGUGUGCCUUUUUGUAUGUACCGUAUGAAUAAGGAUCGGCUAACUCCGUGCCAGCAGCCGCGGUAAUACGGAGGAUCCGAGCGUUAUCCGGAUUUAUUGGGUUUAAAGGGAGCGUAGGCGGACGCUUAAGUCAGUUGUGAAAGUUUGCGGCUCAACCGUAAAAUUGCAGUUGAUACUGGGUGUCUUGAGUACAGUAGAGGCAGGCGGAAUUCGUGGUGUAGCGGUGAAAUGCUUAGAUAUCACGAAGAACUCCGAUUGCGAAGGCAGCCUGCUGGACUGUAACUGACGCUGAUGCUCGAAAGUGUGGGUAUCAAACAGGAUUAGAUACCCUGGUAGUCCACACAGUAAACGAUGAAUACUCGCUGUUUGCGAUAUACAGUAAGCGGCCAAGCGAAAGCGUUAAGUAUUCCACCUGGGGAGUACGCCGGCAACGGUGAAACUCAAAGGAAUUGACGGGGGCCCGCACAAGCGGAGGAACAUGUGGUUUAAUUCGAUGAUACGCGAGGAACCUUACCCGGGCUUAAAUUGCAACUGAAUGAUGUGGAGACAUGUCAGCCGCAAGGCAGUUGUGAAGGUGCUGCAUGGUUGUCGUCAGCUCGUGCCGUGAGGUGUCGGCUUAAGUGCCAUAACGAGCGCAACCCUUAUCGAUAGUUACCAUCAGGUGAUGCUGGGGACUCUGUCGAGACUGCCGUCGUAAGAUGUGAGGAAGGUGGGGAUGACGUCAAAUCAGCACGGCCCUUACGUCCGGGGCUACACACGUGUUACAAUGGGGGGUACAGAAGGCAGCUACACGGCGACGUGAUGCUAAUCCCGAAAGCCUCUCUCAGUUCGGAUUGGAGUCUGCAACCCGACUCCAUGAAGCUGGAUUCGCUAGUAAUCGCGCAUCAGCCACGGCGCGGUGAAUACGUUCCCGGGCCUUGCACACACCGCCC
rnacentral:rRNA from 1 species